AAUUUUGGACAAUGGGGGAAACCCUGAUCCAGCCAUCACGCGUGUAUGAUGAAGGCCUUCGGGUUGUAAAGUACUUUUGGCAGAGAAGAAAAGGUAUCUCCUAAUACGAGAUACUGCUUAAGGUAUCUGCAGAAUAAGCACCGGCUAACUACGUGCCAGCAGCCGCGGUAAUACGUAGGGUGCAAGCGUUAAUCGGAAUUACUGCGCGUAAAGCGUGUGUAAGCGGUUCGAAAAGAAAGAUGUGAAAUCCCAGGGCUCAACCUUGGAACUGCAUUUUUAACUGCCGAGCUAGAGUAUGUCAGAGGGGGGUAGAAUUCCACUUUUAGCAGUGAAAUGCGUAGAUAUGUGGAGAAAUACCGAUGGAGAGGGCAGCCCCCUGGUAUAAUUCUGACGCUCAGACACGAAAGCGUGGGGAGCAAACA
rnacentral:rRNA from 1 species